rnacentral:rRNA from 1 species
CCCUUAGAUGUUCUGGGCAGCACGCGCGCUACAAUGGUCUUCGCAAACGGAUGCAUUCUCGAAGGAGAAUGCCAAUCUUGGAAUCUAUGCCUUGGUCGGGACAGUUGCUUGCAAUUUUUCGACUCGGACCAGGAAUUCCUUGUAAUCGUGAUUCAUCACAUCAUGAUGAAUACGUCCCUGCCCUUUGUACACACCGCCCGUCGCUCCUACCGAUCGAAGAGUUAGGUGAAUUGUUUUGAUCGAUAAGAUUUGACUAUGGUCAACUCUCGUUGUGAAAUUCUGUGAAUCUGACUGUUUAGAGGAAGGAAAAGUCGUAACA